UACGUAGGCAGCAAGCGUUGUUCGGAGUUACUGGGCGUAAAGGGUGUGUAGGCGGUUAUUUAAGUUUGGUGUGAAAUCUCCCGGCUCAACUGGGAGGGUGCGCCGAAUACUGAAUAACUUCGAGUGCGGGAGAGGAAAGUGGAAUUCCUGGUGUAGCGGUGAAAUGCGUAGAUAUCAGGAGGAACACCGGUGGUGUAGACGGCUUUCUGGACCGUAACUGACGCUGAGGCGCGAAAGCUAGGGGAGCAAACAGG
rnacentral:rRNA from 1 species